rnacentral:rRNA from 1 species
UACGGAAGGCAGCAGUGGGGAAUAUUGCACAAUGGGCGAAAGCCUGAUGCAGCUAUGCCGCGUGUAUGAAGAAGGCCUUAGGGUUGUAAAGUACUUUCAUCGGGGAGGAAAAAACAAAACUAAUAAUUUUAUUUCUUGACGUUACCCGAAAAAGAAGCACCGGCUAACUCCGUGCCAGCAGCCGCGGUAAUACGGAGGGUGCUAGCGUUAAUCAGAAUUACUGGGCGUAAAGGGCACGCAGGCGGUUAAUUAAGUUGGAUGUGAAAUCCCCGGGCUUAACCUGGGAAUGGCAUUCAAGACUGGUUAGCUAGAGUCUUGUAGAGGGGGUAGAAUUCCAUGUGUAGCGGUGAAAUGCGUAGAGAUGUGGAGGAAUACCGGUGGCGAAGGCGGCCCCUGGGACAAAGACUGACGCUCAUGUGCGAAAGCGUGGGGAGCAAACAGGGAUUAGAUACC